AGCGAACGCUGGCGGCAGGCCUAACACAUGCAAGUCGAGCGCCCAGCAAUGGGAGCGGCAGACGGGAGAGUAACACGUGGGAACGUACCUUUCAGUACGGAACAACCAAGGGAAACUUUGGCUAAUACCGUAUACGCCCGUAAGGGGAAAGAUUUAUCGCUGAAAGAUCGGCCCGCGUCUGAUUAGCUAGUUGGUGAGGUAAUGGCUCACCAAGGCGACGAUCAGCAGCUGGUCUGAGAGGAUGAUCAGCCUCACUGGGACUGAGACACGGCCCAGACUCCUACGGGAGGCAGCAGUGGGGAAUAUUGGACAAUGGGGGCAACCCUGAUCCAGCCAUGCCGCGUGGAUGAUGAAGGCCUUAGGGUUGUAAAGUCCUUUCGACGGGGAAGAUAAUGACGGUACCCGUAGAAGAAGCCCCGGCUAACUUCGUGCCAGCCGCCGCAGUAAGAC
rnacentral:rRNA from 1 species